AAUAGAUACCCGGGUAGUCCACGCCGUAAACGAUGAGUGCUAAGUGUUAGAGGGGUUUUCCGCCCUUUUAGUGCUGCAGCUAACGCAUUAAGCACUCCGCCUGGGGAGUACGGCCGCAAGGCUGAAACUCAAAGGAAUUGACGGGGGCCCGCACAAGCGGUGGAGCAUGUGGUUUAAUUCGAAGCAACGCGAAGAACCUUACCAGGUCUUGACAUCCUCUGCCAACCCUAGAGAUAGGGCGUUCCCCUUCGGGGGACAGAGUGACAGGUGGUGCAUGGUUGUCGUCAGCUCGUGUCGUGAGAUGUUGGGUUAAGUCCCGCAACGAGCGCAACCCUUGAUCUUAGUUGCCAGCAUUCAGUUGGGCACUCUAAGGUGACUGCCGGUGACAAACCGGAGGAAGGUGGGGAUGACGUCAAAUCAUCAUGCCCCUUAUGACCUGGGCUACACACGUGCUACAAUGGAUGGUACAAAGAGCUGCGAACCCGCGAGGGUAAGCGAAUCUCAUAAAGCCAUUCUCAGUUCGGAUUGUAGG
rnacentral:rRNA from 1 species